UACAGAGGGGGCAAGCGUUGUUCGGAAUUACUGGGCGUAAAGGGCGCGUAGGCGGCCUGCUAAGUCGAACGUGAAAUCCCCGGGCUCAACCCGGGAACUGCGUCCGAUACUGGCAGGCUUGAAUCCGGGAGAGGGAUGCGGAAUUCCAGGUGUAGCGGUGAAAUGCGUAGAUAUCUGGAGGAACACCGGUGGCGAAGGCGGCAUCCUGGACCGGUACUGACGCUGAGGCGCGAAAGCCAGGGGAGCAAACGGG
rnacentral:rRNA from 1 species